rnacentral:lncRNA from 1 species
CGCCUUGGCCUUGGAGCCAGCCGACUAUGGACUGAAGCCUCUAAAAACAGAACAUCUCUCAUCUAUCAGGAAGUGCUUUCAUCUUCAACCAAAGGAAAAGAUCACAUGAGGAGUGAUGGCAAAGCACGGCCAGGGGAGGAAUUUCACAUGACGUGCAGAUGCUGGAGGAUGACGACACAUACUGGAGCUCACAGGAAUCGUGAGGUCCAGCGCAUCACACCUGUCUCUACGUUGUGCUUUCUGGUUCCUAGAAACAAAUACGUGUCUUGUUGUGCUAAACUUCGUCUUUUUCAACUUUACACCAUGCAUCUUGGUUUCCCUUGUACAAAAUACUAUGGAUAUAAUUCGAAGUCGACUUACUUUACCUUGUUGCAGGAUUAAUUUUAAACACAGAAUUCACAUUUCUGUUUGGAGAGUCAAAUGAAAGUCUCAUGAUCAUCAUUAUACUAAUGCAUGAAUGCAGCUGUCCAAUAACCAAGCAGGUAUUUGUCUAGUUUCUAUUCCAUUUAUUAGACUGCAAGAAAAAGAAGCAUUAAUCUACCUCUAGUGAUAUUGACAAG